rnacentral:rRNA from 1 species
GAUGAACGCUGGCGGCGUGCCUAAUACAUGCAAGUCGAGCGAACGGACGAGAAGCUUGCUUCUCUGAUGUUAGCGGCGGACGGGUGAGUAACACGUGGAUAACCUACCUAUAAGACUGGGAUAACUUCGGGAAACCGGAGCUAAUACCGGAUGAUAUUUUGAACCGCAUGGUUCAAAAGUGAAAGACGGUCUUGCUGUCACUUAUAGAUGGAUCCGCGCUGCAUUAGCUAGUUGGUAAGGUAACGGCUUACCAAGGCAACGAUGCAUAGCCGACCUGAGAGGGUGAUCGGCCACAUGGGAACUGAGACGCGGUCCAGACUCCUACGGGAGGCAGCAGUAGGGAAUCUUCCGCAAUGGGCGAAAGCCUGACGGAGCGACGCCGCGUGAGUGAUGAAGGUCUUCGGAUCGUAAAACUCUGUUAUUAGGGAAGAACAUAUGUGUAAGUAACUGUGCACAUCUUGACGGUACCUAAUAAGAAAGCCACGGCUAACUACGUG